rnacentral:rRNA from 1 species
UACUAAACUCAUCAUAUAAUAUCACAUUAAACAAAACACUCAAAUACCUACCCUACUAACACCCAAACUAAAGUACUAAAAAGGAAAUACCCAAUAAAAUAAAGUAGUGAUAUUUCACGUACCUUGUGCAUUAUGGUUUUACAAGCUAAAAAUUUAAAAUACUUUCCCGAAUUCUACACGAGCUGCCCCCAUAUAGCUAUGAGCCCACUACUAGUUGUAGCAACAACUUUAGAAAAUAUGCUGGCAGAGGCUACAUACCACACGCGUUAGAAAAUUGCUGGUUCUCAGUAAAAUUUAUUAAUUAAAACAUGGAGCUAUAGCUUCAGUGUAAGACCACAGAGGACAAGCCCUGUGACCUAAAGCCAUAAACAACAAUCAAGAAUAAGUAGGCCUAAAAACAGCCACCUGCAAUACUUUACCGUGACACCCAUAUAAUUCAUACAUUUAUUCUGCACUUAAAAGCUGGGAUUUAAAAUAAACACUCAAUUAUUAAAUAUUAUGUAAAAAUAAGUAUUAUAGAUAAAUAAACAUCAACAUAAAAUAUAUCCACAAACAAAAAAUUCCCGCCUCAACAUGGGAAGUAAUUCCUGCCCAGUGACUAAGUUCAACGGCCGCGGUAUCCUAACCGUGCAAAGGUAGCAUAAUCACUUGCCCAUUAAUUGUGGGCUAGAAUGAAAGGACCAACGAAAUAAAGACUGUCUCCAUAAGCCAUCUAAAAAUUAAUCUCUAACUGAAGACUGUUAGAUUCCGUCGAAGGACAAGAAGACCCUAUAGAGCUUUAUUUUAAUAAAAAAUAUAAAUUUUUAAUAAAUUCGGUUGGGGCGACCAGGGAAGUUACUAAUCAUCCCUAAAUAAAAGAUUAAUUAAUCUAAAUUCUGACCCUUAUUCAAGAUCAAUAGAUCAAGCUACCUUAGGGAUAACAGGCUAAUCUCACUAAAGAGUCCUUAUCAAUAGUGGGGGUUGGCACCUCGAUGUUGGCUUAGGGAAUCUAUGUGGCGCAAAAGUCACAUAAAGAUGGUUUGUUCAACCAAUAACACCCUACAUGAGCUGAGUUCAGACCGGCGUAAGCCAGGUUAGUUUCUAUCCUCGAUAAAAUAAUCUAUUUAUAGUACGAAAGGACCUAAAUAAGAAUAAUAAUUAUAGUUAAAGAAUAAAUAUAAGGCAUAUUUAAACUAAAUACACAUAAACUA